GGCACUCGGCACAGUCUGCAGCUGAACUGAUGUGGCAUCUCUGUCUGGGUGCUCCUGUGUGGGCUUCGGAUGACAAGACGAUGCCUUUAUGUUUGAGUGUAGGACUCGAAUUGGCAUAUGUGGUGCCAGCUGGAGCUAGGGAGGUGUGAAGAUCUUGAGCAGGUAUACACCUCAUGCUACCAAGUAUCUAAACUAGGACCACACAGACAGAAACUCAGCAUGAAAACACAGCCCAGAUGGAGUCACAGUCUCUUUACAAUACAGUGUGGGUAAGGUAAACUAAACAAGGCUGGAUGGGACAAUCGCGUUACUCAUCUGUCGUUUCAGUUGUUAUGUGGAGAGCAGUAACUGGACUGUACAGAUUGUCCAUUGCUGCAGUCAGAGGGAGCAGUACAGUUUUCAUCUCUAUGGCACUGGCUGUGUCUUCAGCAGAUAGUGGCCAUUUAUUCCCGGUGACCACCUCGGAGUGAACAGUCUGGUUUGUAGGUUGUUGUGAACUACGUGUUCUUACGAGUAAAGGCGCCCGUUGUAAUCCUAAUUUUCCACGACGAGAGGAGCACGAUGUGAAACAUUUCCACCGGCUAAAACACAAACUAGACGGUCUCGGAGCACGUAUGGCGGCCGGGUGAAUGAAUGCUUUGGUGUAUACACAGAGUGCACGAGUGGAAACAAAUUAAGAAUCAGAAUUUAUUUUAAUGUAUUUUUCAGUUUCUGCCUUUAAAUACUUUCUGUUUUGGUGGGUUAAUGAGAGAACAAACUUCAAGCUAUUUUUGAAAACAAGUCUUUAUUGAAGAAGAACCUAAAAUCCAUCAAACUGUUUAAAAAGCACACGUACUAUACAGUAGGUGAUGAUGCAUGAGGUACAUACUAGCGCGGCUUCCUCUAAUCCCAGACCACAGAUUUCAUCCUCUUUCUGUGUUAUCGUCUCCACUGGACGGCUGCUCUGGAGACUCAGGACCACUCUCGUCUUCCCCAAGCUGUUCCUCAGUUGUUCAAUUUUCCUUGCACACUGAGAACAUAAAGCUUCUGGAAGGAUGAAAACUAUUUCUAAAUAACCAAAAAGCAGAGAAAGUACAUUAAACAUAAGGCUUGUUUAAAAAUAAAAGAAAAUAAACGAACGACUGGUCUUCUUCCAUCCUCACCCCACACUACGCACCUCCCACCUGCCUGUUGUUUGAGGUCGCACAGCCACCUUGCUCGUUCAGCUCAUUCUCCAGCUGCUUUGCCUGCUCAUUCUUGUUCAUCGCUCUCAGUAUUCGCAGGGUCUCAGUCGGUGCGACUGAAACGG